rnacentral:rRNA from 1 species
UACGUAGGGGGCAAGCGUUGUCCGGAAUUAUUGGGCGUAAAGAGCUCGUAGGCGGUGUGUCACGUCGUUCGUAAAAACCUGCAGCUUAACUGUGGGCGUGCGGUCGAUACGGGCAUCACUGGAGUUCGGCAGGGGAGACUGGAAUUCCUGGUGUAGCGGUGAAAUGCGCAGAUAUCAGGAGGAACACCGGUGGCGAAGGCGGGUCUCUGGGCCGAUACUGACGCUGAGGAGCGAAAGCAUGGGGAGCGAACAGG